rnacentral:lncRNA from 1 species
GGUGUUACAUAUGUGUGAAUAGUUCCUUGAAGAUGUUGAGAUUGGUGGAGAACGAAAAGUAGGUCGUGGUACCAAAGUCAUCGAAGCAGCAAAGCAGUCGGAGAAGUAGGUGGAGUCGGUUUAUCUUAAUGAGGUUACGUCGUUUCUUUACAAAUAGAUUUCCGCCGAAUACCGUUGUUGACGAACUCUCAGACCAAUGACCGAUUGAAUGGAG